rnacentral:rRNA from 1 species
CAAUAGCGUAUAUUAAAGUUGUUGCAGUUAAAAAGCUCGUAGUUGGAUUUCUGGUGGGGGUCGCUGGUCCGCUGCGAAAGCGGCGUGUACCGAUGCGUACCUACCGCCAUCCUCGGGGGGACUGCGUGUGGGAUUAGUUUCUCGUGCGUAUGGACGCCCGUCUUUUACUGUGAAAAAAUUAGAGUGUUCAAAGCAGGCUGAGGCCGUUGAAUACAUUAGCAUGGAAUAAUAAGAUAGGACCUUGGCGGUCUACUUUGUUGGUUUGCACGCCAAGGUAAUGAUUAAUAGGGAUAGUUGGGGGUAUUCGUAUUCAAUUGUCAGAGGUGAAAUUCUUAGAUUUAUGGAAGACGAACUACUGCGAAAGCAUUUACCAAGGAUGUUUUCACUAA